rnacentral:rRNA from 1 species
CCGGUAAACGGCGGCCGUAACUAUAACGGUCCUAAGGUAGCGAAAUUCCUUGUCGGGUAAGUUCCGACCUGCACGAAUGGCGUAAUGAUGGCCAGGCUGUCUCCACCCGAGACUCAGUGAAAUUGAACUCGCUGUGAAGAUGCAGUGUACCCGCGGCAAGACGGAAAGACCCCGUGAACCUUUACUAUAGCUUGACACUGAACAUUGAGCCUUGAUGUGUAGGAUAGGUGGGAGGCUUUGAAGUGUGGACGCCAGUCUGCAUGGAGCCGACCUUGAAAUACCACCCUUUAAUGUUUGAUGUUCUAACGUUGGCCCGUUAUCCGGGUUGCGGACAGUGUCUGGUGGGUAGUUUGACUGGGGCGGUCUCCUCCUAAAGAGUAACGGAGGAGCACGAAGGUUGGCUAAUCCUGGUCGGACAUCAGGAGGUUAGUGCAAUGGCAUAAGCCAGCUUGACUGCGAGCGUGACGGCGCGAGCAGGUGCGAAAGCAGGUCAUAGUGAUCCGGUGGUUCUGAAUGGAAGGGCCAUCGCUCAACGGAUAAAAGGUACUCCGGGGAUAACAGGCUGAUACCGCCCAAGAGUUCAUAUCGACGGCGGUGUUUGGCACCUCGAUGUCGGCUCAUCACAUCCUGGGGCUGAAGUAGGUCCCAAGGGUAUGGCUGUUCGCCAUUUAAAGUGGUACGCGAGCUGGGUUUAGAACGUCGUGAGACAGUUCGGUCCCUAUCUGCCGUGGGCGCUGGAGAACUGAGGGGGGCUGCUCCUAGUACGAGAGGACCGGAGUGGACGCAUCACUGGUGUUCGGGUUGUCAUGCCAAUGGCACUGCCCGGUAGCUAAAUGCGGAAGAGAUAAGUGCUGAA